UAGAUACCCCAGUAUACUUAUUCUUAAAUUUAAAAGCUAGAUUAUUAGUAGAUAUAUUCUUGAAAUUCAAAGAAUUUGGCGGUAUCUUAAUCUUAUUAGAGGAAUCUGUUCUAUAAACGAUAAACCACGAAGAAUCUUAUUUACCUUAAGUAGUUUGUAUACCGUCAUUAUUAGAUAAUUUUGGGAAAAUUAAUUAUUGUAAUUAAAGCUGAAAGUUUUAAGUAUAUUAGAUCAAGGUGCAGCUUAUAGGUAAGAAAAGAAUGGAUUACAAUAAAUUAAUUUAAACGGAGGUUACUCUUUAAUGGGUUACUGAAGGCGGAUUUAAUUGUAUAUUUAAAUUUAAUAUGAUAAAUAGAAAUUGGCUCUAAGAUAUGUA
rnacentral:rRNA from 1 species